GGGUGAAUAGGCGAUUUUUACAAUUUCAUCACUGAGGAAAUUCCUAGUGAGGAAAGUCUCCAGUCGUGAACUAAGUGUAGCGGAAGUAGAACCAAAUCAGGGGCACAAAAACGUCCACAACAAAGUACUCAGCGAGAUUUCAGAGAUUCGGUUUGCAUAGGUCACGAGUAUAGGAUAAGCAGGUGAAGAUUAACUCAGGUGAAGAAUUUGAGGUUGAGGAAAUUCAGAGAAAGUCUUCAGACAAAUUCUUCGAACAAUUCAGAUGAGAGUAUUCAACAUACAAUUGAGGAAAUGAGAGAGUUGAAG
rnacentral:lncRNA from 1 species